rnacentral:rRNA from 1 species
UGACCUCGGAUCAGGUAGGAAUACCCGCUGAACUUAAGCAUAUCAAUAAGCGGGAGGAAAAUUAUAUCAACUUUACACUCCUAAACCUGUGAAAAUCCAAUGAAUGCCUCGGCGGAUCGCCGCCUCGGGUAAACGGGACGGCGCACAGGACCCAACUCUGUUUUAUAUGUAACUUCGGAGGAAAACCAUAAAUAAACAAAACUUUCACAACGGAUCUUUGGUUUCUGGCAUCGAUGAAAACGCAGCAAAUGCCAUUAGUAAUGUGAAUGCAGAAUUCGUGAAAUCGUCGAAUCUUUGAACGCCAUUGCGCCCGCCAUAUUCUGGGGGCAGUCUGUUCAGAGCGCUAUUUACCUCUGCCUACGGGGUGGAGACCCAG